AGGGUUUGAUCAUGGCUCAGAACGUACGCUGGCGGCACGCCUUAUACAUGCAAGUCGAACGAAGUAGCAAUACUUAGUGGCAGACGGGUGAGUAACAUGUGGGAAUCUUCCCUUUGGUGAGGAAUAACACGAGGAAACUUGUGCUAAUACCUCAUAAGUCUUUACGGAGAAAGCUUUAUGCGCCAAUGGAUGAGCCCGCACUUGAUUAGUUUGUUGGUAGGGUAAUGGCCUACCAAGACUGUGAUCAAUAGCUGAUCUGAGAGGAUGAUCAGCCACAUUGGGACUGAGACACGGCCCAAACUCCUACGGGAGGCAGCAGUAGGGAAUAUUGCACAAUGGAGGAAACUCUGAUGCAGCGAUGCCGCGUGAGUGAAGAAGGCCUUUGGGUUGUAAAGCUCUUUCGUCGGGGAAGAAAAUGACUGUACCCGAAUAAGAAGGUCCGGCUAACUUCGUGCCAGCAGCCGCGGUAAUACGAAGGGACCUAGCGUAGUUCGGAAUUACUGGGCUUAAAGAGUUCGUAGGUGGUUAAAAUAGUUGGUGGUGAAAUCCCAGAGCUUAACUCUGGAACUGCCAUCAAAACUUUUUAGCUAGAGUUUGAUAGAGGAAAGCAGAAUUUCUAGUGUAGAGGUGAAAUUCGUAGAUAUUAGAAAGAAUACCGAUUGCGAAGGCAGCUUUCUGG
rnacentral:rRNA from 1 species